GACGAACGCUGGCGGCGUGCUUAACACAUGCAAGUCGAACGGGCCUUGUCCCCUUUUUUUUGGGGGUGGGGUUAGUGGCGAACGGGUGAGUAACACGUGAGUAACCUGCCCCUCACUUCUGGAUAACCGCUUGAAAGGGUGGCUAAUACGGGGUGUUCUGGCCUGCUCGCAUGGGUGGGUUGGGAAAGUUUCGACCGGUUUUGGUGGUUUUGGUGGGGGAUGGGGUCGCGGCUUAUCAGCUUGUUGGUGGGGUGAUGGCCUGCCAAGGCUUUGACGGGUAGCCGGCCUGAGGGGGUGGGCGGUCACACUGGGACUGAGACACGGCCCAGACUCGUACGGGAGGCAGCAGUGGGGAAUAUUGCACAAUGGGCGCAAGCCUGAUGCAGCGACGCCGCGUGAGGGAUGGAGGCCUUCGGGUUGUGAACCUCUUUCGCCAGUGAAGAAGGUCCUGCUCUUUGUGGUGGGGUUGACGGUAGCUGGAUUAAUGAAGCGCCGGCUAACUACGUG
rnacentral:rRNA from 1 species